rnacentral:lncRNA from 1 species
GUGCAGGAACCCUCACCCGCCCGAGCGGGGCCCUGGGCCUCCGGGUCACUCUCUGUGGCGGGGUCUGGCUGCGCGUCAGACGGCCUCCUCCAAUGCCCGCAGUUGCUGUCGCCCCCAGGCCUGGACCGGGGAGUGAGGGGUGGGCCUGACCGGCCCCUGAGCUCCCGUCAGCCCCCCACGCGAGCCCGUCCUGUGCUGGGGGCAGGGAGAUGGGCCGGUGGGAGAGGAGACCGCAUCCAGCCCUCCCUGGCCACCUGCAGGGUCCCCACCGUGGCGGCUGCUUUACUGCUAACUCCUCCCGGGGACCCCAAGUCCCCAUCGCUCUCGGGGGUCCCCCUCAUCCGAACCGCCUCGGAGGAGGGCCGCAUCUCACGCGGAGCACCCCUCCACGCCUGUGACCCUGGACUUGCUCUCCCGCCCCCGCCCGGGCCUCAGGGCUCAGGAGGCCGUGAUGAAGCCAGCAGGUGAACUGCACCCUGGAGCCUCCGACGGGGCGGCCACGGGCAGCGAAGAACCCGGAAAAACAGGUUCGAGGCAGACACAAGAUCCAGGCCCCGGCAGGCUCCGUGUCUGCCGAAGGCUUCCUGGGUCAUAGGCGACACCUUCCCGCCGUGCCCUCUUGUGGGAAAGGGGUGAGGGAGCCCUCUGGGGCUCCUUUUAUUUAUUUUUAAUUUUUUAAUUUUUUAAUUUUUUGAAGUGGAGUUUUGCUCCUGUUGCCCAGGCUGGAGUGCGGUGGCGCAACGUCGGCUCACCGCAAGCUCCGCCUCCCGGGUUCAAGGGAUUCUCCUGCCUCGGCCUCCCGGUGGCUGGGAUUACAGGCGCCUGCAACUACACCCAGCUAAUUUUUUGUAUUUUUAGUAGAGAUGGGGUUUCACCAUGUUGACCAGGCUGGUCUCAAACUCCUGACCUCAGGUGAUCCGCUUGCCUUGGCCUCCCAAAAUGCUGGGGGUCACAGGCGUGAGCCACCUCACCCGGCCGUGAAAUUUGUAUUUUUAAACUUUGUAUAAAUGGUAUUUUGCUGUCCGUGACAUUCAGCAACUUGCUCUUCUCACCCCACAGUACCCUUCUGAGGUUAAUCCGCGUUGAUAGAAGCAGGUGUGGUUCAUCUGGAAUCUGUUGGUGUGAACUGCGCGGCGGCGUCCCCCACCAGGCACCACAGCGGGCGCCUCUUGGUAGCAGCCACCGGCCUCUUCUGGGACUCGCCGGAGGGUUUCCACGUCGCCCGCUCCGACGGGGCUGUUCAUCUCCCCUUGAUCUGUGGGACUCCCCGUCCGUCUCAGGUAUGACCCCUUUGUUGGUGAUCUGGGUUGCAGAUAUCCCCUCUGUGUCUGUGGCUUGUCUCGCUGCGUUGUUUAUGGUGCGCUUUUGUCAUGCAGACGUUUCUAAUUUUGCUCUGUCUGGACUUGGCAAUCUUUCUGUUCGUGAUUUGUGCUUUUGGUGUUUAUGUACAAACUCUUUCCCGGUCCAGAAAGCAUAAAAAAGUUUGCUUUGUG